CUGACCCAGCGACGCCGCGUGCCCGAAGAAGCCCCUCGGGGUGUAAAGGGCUUUUUAGGGAACAAGCCCUGUACCAUGCGCUUGCGCUUAGGUGCAGGGUUGAGAGUACCUGAGGAAUAAGGGGGGGCUAAUUACGUGCCAGCAGCAGCGGUAAAACGUAACCCCCAAGCGUUAUCCGGAUUUAUUGGGCGUAAAGCGUCCGUAGGCGGCUGAGCAAGUUCAAGGUUAAAUGCCUCGGGCUCAACCUGAGGAAGGCCUUGGAUACUGUUCGGCUAGAGGGCGUUAAGGGCUGAUGGAACGCACGGUGUAGGGGUGAAAUCCGUUGAUAUCGUGCGGAACACCGAAAGCGAAGGCAUUCAGCUGGGGCGACCCUGACGCUGAGGGACGAAAGCCAGGGGAGAGAAUGGGAUUAGAUACCCCAGUAUUCCUGGCCGUAAACGAUGGAUGUUAGCUAUUGCAAGUGUCGACCCUUGCAGUGGCGAAGCUAACGCGUUAAACAUCCCGCCUGGGGAGUACAGCCGCAAGGCCGAAACUCAAAGGAAUAGACGGGGGCCCACACAAGCGGUGGAUCACGUGGCUUAAUUCGACGACAAGCGGGGAACCUUACCAGGACUUGACAUCCCGUUCUUAAAACUUUUCCGAAAGGAAAAGCCAAUCUCACAAGGAAGAACGGGACAGGUGGUGCAUGGUCGUCGUCAGCAGGUGGCGUGAGCUGCUCCCUUAAAUGGGGAAACCUGCGAAACCCUUGCUCUGUGUUUUACGUGUCACAGAGGACUGCCCGCGUAUAGUGGGAGGAAGGUGGGGAUGACGCUAGAUCAGCAUGUCCUUUAUGUCCUGGGCUGCACACGUGAUACAAU
rnacentral:rRNA from 1 species